rnacentral:rRNA from 1 species
GAUGAACGCUGGCGGCGUGCCUAAUACAUGCAAGUCGAGCGAACAGACGAGGAGCUUGCUCCUUUGACGUUAGCGGCGGACGGGUGAGUAACACGUGGGUAACCUACCUAUAAGACUGGGAUAACUUCGGGAAACCGGAGCUAAUACCGGAUAAUAUUUUGAACCGCAUGGUUCAAUAGUGAAAGAUGGCCCUGCUGUCACUUAUAGAUGGACCUGCGCCGUAUUAGCUAGUUGGUAAGGUAACGGCUUACCAAGGCAACGAUACGUAGCCGACCUGAGAGGGUGAUCGGCCACACUGGAACUGAGACACGGUCCAGACUCCUACGGGAGGCAGCAGUAGGGAAUCUUCCGCAAUGGGCGAAAGCCUGACGGAGCAACGCCGCGUGAGUGAUGAAGGUCUUCGGAUCGUAAAACUCUGUUAUUAGGGAAGAACAAACGUGUAAGUAACUGUGCACGUCUUGACGGUACCUAAUCAGAAAGCCACGGCUAACUACGUG